GCCAAGAUUUAAAGAGAAUAUAUAUAGCUAACAAGACUGUUCCAAUGUAAUUUUAUACUAAAAAAUAUUAUUUAGAAUAAAUGUGGAAACUAAGACAAUCUUUGAGUAUAUAAAAGAGGUGGAUUUUUUAUUUCUGGGAGAUGUUUUCUUCUGUAGUGGCUAGCUGUUUCUUGAAGAGCUUUUCCCGUCAAAUUAGCUCCUGAAGACGACCAGUUUGCCUUUUGAGCUUCAUCUGAUUUCCAGGCAACUCAGGUGUGCCUAUGGUGUUGGGUCUAACUCUAACUCUGGCUCCAGGUAGGUGCCUGCUGACAUGGAAGGUCUUCUGAAAGACAAAUUCCCAACUGAAGCUAAAAUCAUUCUGAGCAAUCAGAAUCUGCUUAGGUAGAGGAACAGGCGUACCUCUCUGCUCAGUUUCCAGAACUUCCUCAGCAAUCCAAUGAUUGCAGCUUGGGCUGUGUAACAAGCACAAAAGGUAGCUUUCUGUGUCAGGAAAUUCAAAAUCUUUCUUCUAAACUGUAAUUACCAACAAUAUUAUCCAUUGUUCUGUAAUGAGGCUUGAUAUUUUAAACUACAAAGGAGCACAUUUAAGAUAUAGACCAGCAUUGCUGGGCUUUGUAUGUCUUUCUUUUAAUUCUAGAAUUUGUAUUUUUUUCAGUUGAUUAGAAACCUGAAGGCAGGAACUCAUUCUAGAUAUACAAGUGCAUGCAGUAUGGACAUAUCAAAGGGAAUUAAUCUAUACAGAUACAGAUAAAAGAAGCAGGAACAACUGUAUAUAGGCAAUGGAUAAGAGAAGAGAGAAGACAAAAGGCAAGAAAGAAGUCAAAUACAAAUAAAAGAGAAUAUGAAAAGACUAUUGUAUUAUGUUAAUGCUAUGUGAAAUUAAAGUACUUUAAGAUCUUCGGAUGUAAGAUACUAUUUACAGUGAGAAGUUCUUGCUUGGGUGCAGGAGAGGAGCACAGAUGCCAGUCAGAGUCUGUGAGGACACCCACCUCUGCCCCUUGGUUUGGAAGGGAGCUGCACUGGAGCUCAACAAAGGCCCCACAUUCAGAUUGGCAGCGUGUUCAGAUUGGAUUUCCUAUCUACAGCUGCUCCACACUCCAUUUGCACCAUGUCCAAACAUCUGGCUUUAAUCUAUUAGAAGGCACCAUAACAAACCACCUCUGGCACCUCAUCUUCAAUCAAAAGAGGAAUGACUAUUCUCCAGAGUACCCAGCUCCACAUUGUUAACAUUCUGUCCCUGCCUAUCUUCACCUCACCUUACCUUAUUUUUUGUUUGUAUGAAGAAGUCUUUCCUCCUUUUGUAUUUUCUUUUAAUGGAAAUAAAAAUAAGAAAAUAAAAAAAAUCUAAAACUGAAUUCCUAAUUUUUCCAUCAGAGGUAGAAAGAGCAACUGUGUUUUUUCACCCUCUUUUAGAGGCCACUUUUAAAGCUAUAAAAAUAUUCUGUGUGGAUUGGACCAAACUAUGUUCUGGAGUAAACUAUCAAAGAUCAGCAGAGCUGCAUGGCAUUUCAGAUAGAAAGUUCAUGAACCUGUGUUCAAUUUGUAUGUUGUUUACCUGAUUUUUCUUUUCUUUUUUUUCUGAAUCCAUGCUUCAAUAUGUUAAUACAAAGUUCUGACUGUGAAG
rnacentral:lncRNA from 1 species